AGCAGCAGAAGAGCUGUCAGCACAAGAAUGUGUGAGUUAGUUAAAAGAUACAAAUCACACCUAUGUGUAUUGCAUUUCAAUAAUCCUGGGAUAUUAGUCAUCUGCUUAAAGAAAUGCGUAAUCAUACUCCAGAAUGCAGAGGAUCGACCUCACAACCUGCUGCAUCUUCUUCGUCGAUGUUGCCUUUCUUAAGUCGCAAGGAAAUAUAUUUUUGCAAGCAGA
rnacentral:lncRNA from 1 species